rnacentral:rRNA from 1 species
AUUGAACGCUGGCGGCAUGCCUUACACAUGCAAGUCGAACGGCAGCACGGGUGCUUGCACCUGGUGGCGAGUGGCGAACGGGUGAGUAAUACAUCGGAACAUGUCCUGUAGUGGGGGAUAGCCCGGCGAAAGCCGGAUUAAUACCGCAUACGAUCUACGGAUGAAAGCGGGGGACCUUCGGGCCUCGCGCUAUAGGGUUGGCCGAUGGCUGAUUAGCUAGUUGGUGGGGUAAAGGCCUACCAAGGCGACGAUCAGUAGCUGGUCUGAGAGGACGACCAGCCACACUGGGACUGAGACACGGCCCAGACUCCUACGGGAGGCAGCAGUGGGGAAUUUUGGACAAUGGGCGAAAGCCUGAUCCAGCAAUGCCGCGUGUGUGAAGAAGUCCUUCGGGUUGUAAAGCACUUUUGUCCGGAAAGAAAUCCUUGGCCCUAAUACGGUCGGGGGAUGACGGUACCGGAAGAAUAAGCACCGGCUAACUACGUG